rnacentral:rRNA from 1 species
GAUGAACGCUGGCGGCGUGCCUAAUACAUGCAAGUCGAACGCACAGCGAAAGGUGCUUGCACCUUUCAAGUGAGUGGCGAACGGGUGAGUAACACGUGGACAACCUGCCUCAAGGCUGGGGAUAACAUUUGGAAACAGAUGCUAAUACCGAAUAAAACUCAGUGUCGCAUGACACAAAGUUAAAAGGCGCUUUGGACUCACCUAAAGAUGGAUCCGGGGUGCAUUAGUUAGUUGGUGGGGUAAAGGCCUACCAAGACAAUGAUGCAUAGCCGAGUUGAGAGACUGAUCGGCCACAUUGGGACUGAGACACGGCCCAAACUCCUACGGGAGGCUGCAGUAGGGAAUCUUCCACGAUGGGCGAAAGCCUAAUGGAGCAACGCCGCGUGUGUGAUGAAGGCUUUCGGGUCGUAAAGCACUGUUGUAUGGGAAGAACAGCUAGAAUAGGGAAUGAUUUUAGUUUGACGGUACCAUACCAGAAAGGGACGGCUAAAUACGUGCCAGCAGCCGCCGUAA